GAUUUAGAAAAUAAGAAAUCAAUUCUCUGCCUUGAGCCUCUGUUGGAUAAGUUCUGGAUGAGAGGUCCCAUGUCUGCAUGGAGGCAUGGAGCAGCUAUUGUCAGUACAAGAUAAAUUCUUCUUGCAACAGUGCCCAUCAUGACAGAUUUUGUGGCAGACUUCAGUGCUUU
rnacentral:lncRNA from 12 species